rnacentral:piRNA from 1 species
UAAAAGUGAUAGGCCUCCUGAGCAAUGUU